rnacentral:tRNA from 1 species
UUCAAGUAGUUUAUUAAAAACAUUACUCUUUCAAAGUAAAGAUCUUAUUUAAGUUUGUAC